UUUCCGUAGGUGAACCUGCGGAAGGAUCAUUGUCGAUAACU
rnacentral:rRNA from 3 species